rnacentral:rRNA from 1 species
CUACGUAGGUGACAAGCGUUAUCCGGAUUUACUGGGCGUAAAGGGCGUGUAGGCGGUCUUGCAAGUCAGAAGUGAAAUUCCUGAGCUCAACUCGGGCGCUGCUUCUGAAACUGCAGGACUUGAGUGCUGGAGGGGAUAGCGGAAUUCCUAGUGGAGCGGUAAAAUGCGCAGAUAUUAGGAAGAACACCGGUGGCGAAGGCGGCUAUCUGGACAGUAACUGACGCUGAGGCGCGAAAGCGUGGGGAGAAAACAGGAUUAGAUCCCUUGGUAGUCCACGCCGUAAACGAUGAAUACUAGGUGUAGGGGGUAUCGACUCCCUCUGUGCCGCAGUUAACACAAUAAGUAUUCCGCCUGGGGAGUACCGCCGCAAGGUUGAAACUCAAAUGAAUUGACGGGG